CUAUUCCAUUGUGUCCCAUUGUGUGUGAGUUCUCUGUUCAACUAGGAAGUUUAUUCUACAAGUGCUGGGGGAAAUAAUAGGAUUUUAAAGAAGCUGUCCUUAGUAGAUUCCUUUCCUGAGAAAACAUGAAAACAUCUAUGCCUUGGUAGCUGCCUCAGGAAGAUGGAUGGGUACUUAUGGUCUCUGCUAUUAUCUUGGUAACUUUUAAGACUGGGAAAAGCUCCCAAACGAGAACUGUGUGGAUCACAGCUUUUGAGAAUUGAAACAGGUGGACAUCUGGGACAAAACGAAGUGUGCCACGAACUUCUGCUGAUCAGAACACUGCGCUGAAGUAGGCACAGGAGUGAAGCAAUAUGAAAGAACCGGCUGAGUGAAUGCUGCUAUCCCGGCUGGAAGGAGUCUGGAAAACAUCCUAAAGGCCAGAAUUUGGAACCAGACACUAAACCUUUACGCGGAGUAUGAAAUUGCAGCUGCCCCAAGCUCACCCAUGGCUGACGGGCACCCCCUGGCCUGGCUCCGAGCCCGGUGCCCCGGGGGAUGCUCCGUGGAGCUGCUAGCCGGAGCCUGUCCCGGAGCUGCGGGAGAAGCGCCGCCGGUGCGCUGAGCUGCCAUCAUGUCUUUAGACUGCCUUUUGUGUGUCCUUUUCUAAUCUCCUCUUCCUCCUAAGCCGCUGGGUAACGCUCCGGCGAACUGCGGGCAAUAGGGCCGCAGGGCUGUGGAACCGCCGCGGGCUCUGCCUCGGGCCUCACCCCUCGUGGCGGGCAGCCCCCAGCCGAGGUGGGGACCCCUGGCCCCGCUCCCAAGCGGGCCACAGCCCGGCCCUGCCCCGCCGCUCGGCCCGUACUCACCCGCCGCGCCAGGCGCUACCGGCGGGGCCGCUCGCCCGCCGCGCCGCCGGGGCCGGGGCCGCCAUCUCGGUCACUGGCAGGCGGAACGCCCCAGCGCCGGGGGCCCGCGGGAGAGCUUCGAGGCCGCCUCAAGAAGCCGCUGUCUGGUUGGUGCGAGCCCGCGCGGCCGCCGGCACGCCGCGCGCUGGUUGGCUGGGCCGGGGUGGCGCGCGAAGCCAGGCUCCCGCCCCGGCGGCAGGUCGGGGCUGGCCGUGAGGAGAGGUUGAGGGGAAAGGGCGGAGCGGAGACUCAGGGCGAGGGUGACCCCAAGGCUCCUGGGAAGACGUCUUGGGAACGAGAACCAGCAGACUCGGGAGCCAUGAGGUGAAGGCGGACGCAGGGUGCCAGGUGCACAGGAAACCAUGGCGGGAUGAGCAGACAAACCUAGCCAGCCGGAGUGGGUGACAAAGGGAAGCUCAAGGCAAAAGCUGUGAAGCACUCAAGAGGCACUAAGUUGCUGUGAUUUUUGGACCUGAGAACUUUGCUGUAAAGACCUGGUCUACAGGACAGUGCUCAAGUCAUCAUCCUCUCUAUUGUUUAAUAUUGCAGAAUUGUGAAUGAAUGGCAAACAAGGUAAUAUUCGUUCUGGAUGUUUAUAGCAAUGUAGUAUUUUCGUCUGGAGAAAACCACAAAUCGGUCAAUUUUGCCUGCAAAUUAAGAUAAUUUCCCAUACUUGCUUCUAAAUAGCUUUUAAACUAUUCCUUGAGUGGUUUUUUCCUCCACACGCUUAUAUUUCUUGGAGUUGUUACACCAUGUAAAGGCCUCCUAUAUCAUUUUGGUGGGAAGUGAGCUCAUAGAAAUGAAAUAAUUCAAACCUAUGUGGGUAGUCUUCAAAAGCUUCAUUUCAUGCUCCCCAUGUCUGAGUGCAGGGAUCUGCUGGCUCCUCCUGGGGCCACAGCAUAUGGGCAGAGCUAGGGCUCAGCUUGCCAUCAGCUUCCGCCUGGAGCAGCUUGUGGAGCCCGGCACAUCCACGGGAACUAUUUGACCUCUCUGCAUGUGCCUUUCAGUCAGUCCUCACCAGGGUGGCUGCUGCGGGUAGAGCAGACAUGAGAAUUUCACUAGGACCACUUUAAAGCAGGUAUUGUAUGCAAAAAACCCCAAACCUUCCUUUGUCUUUUUUUUUUCUCUGACAAAGUGUUGAAGUUGCAUUUUAAUCAGUACUUGAUGAGUAGAGUUUCUGAACAGUUGUGCAAAAUAAUUUAAAUAUAAUUAAAUCAGUGAGAAUAUUUUGUAUUGUUUAGAACAGGCAGUGGCUGUUUGUCUGAUUCCCCCCCUUGCAUAUUUCAUGACAGAUGCUAAGAAAUUACUAUAAUUAUAAUGUGCAUAGUGGAAAAAGGAAUUGAAAGGGGAAGAUUGAUACAAAAACUGAGCCUUAAAAAUUAAAAGGAGUAGUUGAGUUGACCACCACCUUUACCCAAGCUGAAGGGAAGACAGUAUUUCAUUUUAGCUGAAUUACAUUACUUCCCAGCUCCUGUGUAUUGCUUAAUAAAUAAGGGACUUACUUGUAGUUCAGUGUCUAAUUAUAAAAUAUAAGUGAGAUAAGAUAUUUCACAAAAGAAAGCAAUUCUGCCUUUUCAUAAUAAGCAGCAUCUGCUUUUUUUUUCUCCAUACUGAGAGGCAGUUGAACUGACAAUUCCAGGCUGUCCUGAAAAUGACAGAUGACUGUAUUGGGAGUAGGAAGAAAGCAGAAUUCCUUUUGUACUAAAGAAAGGGGGAUGGCACACUAUAGUUGGCUCUGAUUCUCUUUUACAGGUCUCUUUCAGAGCUUAAGCAUUUAUGGGUGACCCUGGCCAACUGAUUUUAUUGUUUAAUUUCUUAGUGACAGCUAUUGCAGGUCCCAGGUGGAACAGCCUUUCCUACACAGUCUGUUUUAUAUAUCUUGUCAUUUCUUCUUUGUGACCACAGAAACACAGGUGGUAUGGAAAGAAAUCUGCUUGAAUGUAAGACUCAUGGAUGGUUUUGGUUUGGACCUUUUUUCUGCUAGUUUUGAGCUUGUUUUCUCUUUUCCUGGUCUAUAAAAGAACAGCCCCUGUUUAAUCACAUGGUGAUUAAACUGCUUCACAAGUGCUAUUGAGAUCUGUAAUGAGUAAAAUUGUGAAGCUGUUCUGGCAGAUCAGCUGUUCUGUCUGGGUCACAAGCAGCAACACUUAUUGAUUGCACUUGGGCAGAUUUACAGAGACAGACAGUUGUGAUAACAGUUCAGGGUGUGUGUGAGAAGUCAGGGCAGAGCAUGAGGAGAGUUUCAGCUGGCUCAGUAGUUAAAAACUGCCAAUUCUGUUCCUAAUGCUGCUGAACACUGGUGUUAGUUUAUUGUAUGGCUUUGGGCAAGCCCUCUAUGCCUCUGUUUCCUGUUUGCAGAAUAUGGAUAUCUAUAUAUUUAUAUGUGUACACAUCUAUGAUCUGUUAUCAUACAUCUAUUCCAUCCCUUUGAUAUUGUUGACUUUAGCACUAACCUAAAGCUGCAAAUCAAAAUGAGACCAACUCACCAAUAUAUAGCAAAGUAGUUACCCAAUUCAUUCAUUAUCCUGCUCUCUGAAGAACAGACACAGAAAACACAUUUUCACAGGGUUUUUUCCUUAGCUUUACUGUCUGAUUCCCUAAUUAGUCCUCUCACACAGUGUUCCAAAUAUGGGCAUGUGGGGAAAUCCUAUAGACCAGAAACCUAAAUCUUGAAUUAAGGUUUUAGAGAAACUCUAGUAAUAGCAGUUAAGUCUUGUAGACUCCCCUCCUUGGUGUCCAUUUUAAUAUAAGCUGACCAAAAAAAAAAAAAAGUGAAUUUGUUGCCAGGUCUGUCUGUAUGUGGUACCCGCAGUUAGUUUUGUUUCAGUCUGUGGUCUGACUUUAGACUAGAACCUCGGUGUUAGGUUUUCCUCAAGGUAUUCAGCAUCUUCCUAGAGCAGUUCAUAUUUGUUGCUCUUUGGUUGCAUCAGGCAUGUUUGAAGCAAAUUUGUGCCAAGACAGACCCAAAUAUGUAGUAAAUUGAAUAGUUUUGGAUUUUAUGGCUAAUAUCCCUUGUUUGAUUAUUACACUGAGGCUAACAUAGGUUGAAGGAAGAAGGCAAGAAGGUAAUAUUAAUGCACUAAAUCUCCACAGCCCCAUUCCCAGCAUUCCCCAUUCCCUCUAUGCUGUGCCUACAUUCCUGUCAUUCCCCCCUGUGCCGCACCCACUGUAUCCCUGCACAUCUCAGACAGAGGUGUAUAUCCAGGCAGUCCCCCCCCACCCCAAGCUGUCAGAACAGUCUCGUGGCAGUAAAUUUUCAACUGGGAAGAAAAUUGAUCAGGGCCUGUCUACAUCUAUUCCACAUUCCCUGUGGCAGAAUGUCUGAUUUUCCAUGGGAACAAGCUUUGUGUCCUGCUUCAUAAAUCGGGCUGCUUACAUCCAACUUUUACACAGCACACAGAGUGUUACCCUAUACAAACUGCAGCACUACAGUGCAGAAUCACAGUGUGAAAUUUGGAGCAUCUUCAGAUGUGCUGAGCUAGUCAAUGGUUGCUUUUUUAUAAAAACACUACAAUUCUUUGAAAGCAGGAAAUGCGUCAGAGGAAGAAAGGUGCAUGUUAUAAAUGUAUUUCAUUACAAUUAUUGUGCCAGAUGCCUUAAAAAAAAAACAUUGCAACAAACACAAAGUUCCUUAAAUUGUCAAGUGUAUUGUAGUUCAUGAUGAUGACAGAUCCUCGUGUUUGAGGAGAACAGCCUUAGGAACAUGGCAUUAAUACAACUAUUCCAAGCAGCAAUUUUAAACCUUUAGUGGCUGCUUGACCCAUUUUAACAAAUAUUCCUCUGAUCUAUUGAUAGCAAAACCUAUACAUUUAUUUCCCCAGACGGCUCUGAGAAGUUUAAAAAGGUACCCAGAAGAAAUGUCAGACACAAGGAUUUUUCUUACCUUCUUAAAGCACUCAGAGCUAAUCUUGGAUUAUAUUUUAUCAUUAUCAAAUGUCAUAGAAAAUUCAAGCUAUUCCUAGACUGAAAAAAAAAAAUUGAAAUGGAACCUUUAGCAAAACAAUGUCUCUGUUGCGUUUUUCAUCCUUGCUCACAGCUAUGUCAGGAUUUUGGCUUUUGCUGUAGCAAAGCUGCACAGUAUUGCACAAUAAGUUGUGUGUUUCUAUAAAGUAUUAACUUGUUUGCAAGCUGGGGGAACAUUCUACAUGGAUCUGUUUGCAAGCAAGUACAUCUCAGCAAUUCCUCAGUCAGGAAUAUCUUUCUGUAACGUUCUAAUCUCUGCUAUUUCUGAAAUUUGUUGCUUCUUUGAUUUUCUAGGACUGCCCUUUUACAGUCAGGCAGCUGCAGCCCCAUAAAGUAGCUGUCAUUCAACUGGCAGCUGUUGGCCAUAGCUGACUUUUCAAGUCCAGCUAAAAGUAGCUCCUAUAACUUCUUUGAGAUGUUAUUUGACUUACAGAAACUUACUAUGAACUUCUAAAUCCCCAUCUUGAGGGCAUAUGUGAAACAUGAGAUUCUGUAGGACUGUUCUAGGAACAACGACUGGGAACUUGAGCGAUCUUGGAAUCCAGCUCUGAUUUCAUCAGUAUUGGUGUCACUUCUAAAAGAAUAAUUUCUGCAUUCCCAGAAAGAAUGUCUGAAACAUUUGUAACAUCUCAACUCCUAAAGCUCCUUUUCUCCACCCUUUCCAAUGUUUUGAAUGAAGUAUGAACUCACAUCUUCCCCCAAAACCUGGGAAUAAGUUAAAACCCCUUAAAGACAAUGUUGUGGGGAUGAGAAAAUGAACUUGCCAAGGGUUUAAAGCUCAAAUUUAAUCCAGUCUUUAUCAAGCUGCUUAAGCGUUUAUAAUGAGAAUGUUAGGAGGCAACGUUUGCAGAACACUAUUUAUAAGCUGGAUUGUUUGAGAUUGUGGUAAAUAUUCUAAUGGUACUCUGGUUUUGGUAUAGAUGUAACCAUAACUGCCCUGGCAGACUCCAGCUGAGGAGAGCAACCAGUGUCAUGGUUUAUUUUUUAAAAAAGGGUUUAAUUGGAGGAUGAAAAUGUGCAUCUCUGUCAUACAACAAAAUAUCUGUUACCUGUGCCUAAAUUGUAGACUUUGGUCCACAACAAUCCUAAAUUUACAUGAGCCCAGCUGUGGGCCCUGCAGUUGAUGUCUAGACACUGUGGCUGUGCCCACUUUGAGUGCCCACUUCCAGUCUUGGCAUCUUUUUGGAGGUGGGGGAAGGAUAAAAGUAACCCUGUCGUAACUCAUUCCUUCAGGUGAUGGGAGUACAGUGCUAGAAAGGCUUUUCAUAUUCAGAAACCACCUUUCCUUUCUAAAGCCAGAGGAAAGCUUUUUAUUUAUGCCUUUAUCAAAGGACUUAGGCCUGACAUUUACCUGAGUAACUGCUUUACUCUAUAAUUAAAAGUAUUUUCAAGCUGUAAGAAUGUCAGGAGGGUCAUCCAUGCAAACUGUGACAUUAGUUGCCCGUGCAAUCUGAAUUUUGGCCUCUGCAGAUGCUGUAAUUGCCAUGUGUGAUUAAACUACUUGUUCUUACA